AGUAAACGCUGGCGGUAGGCCUAACACAUGCAAGUCGAACGGCAGCACAUGUAUAGCUUGCUCUUACGGGUGGCGAGUGGUGGACGGGUGAGGAAUACAUCGGAAUCUAUUUGUGCGUGGGUGAUUACGUAGGGAAACUUACGCUAAUACCGCAUAUGUCCUGCGGGUGAAAGCAGGGGAUCUUCGGUCCGUUUGUUCGUGAAUGAGUCGAUGUCGGAUUAGCUAGUUGGCGGGGUAAAGGCCCACCAAGGCGACGAUCCGUAGCUGGUCUGAGAGGAUGAUCAGCCACACUGGAACUGAGACACGGUCCAGACUCCUACGGGAGCACGCAGUGGGCACACUUGGACAAUGGGCGCAAGCCUGAUCCAGCCAUACCGCGUGGGAGAAGAAGGAAUUCGGGUUGUAAAGCCCUUUUGUUGGGAAAGACAAAAAACAGGUUAAUACCCCGCUGUUCUGACGGUACCCAAAGAAUAAGCACCGGCUAACUUCGUG
rnacentral:rRNA from 1 species